GCCAGAGCUGACAUGAAGUAGAACAGAGAUGAGCUGAGCUUUGCCCCACCUGCAGAUGUAUAUAAAGAAAUUGACACAACUAAUUAGAAGCCGGGUCCAAGAUUUUCAUUUAUAAAGUCUACUUCCAGCACUCACUCUUUGACCCCCUAUACUUCAUACUCCAGAGUGACUCCAAACAAAGACUAUGGAACUUCCCACAUACACCCCUUUUGGCUGAGCUGUAUGGCCAUAAGCGUAGAGACUUGCAGCUGUAUGUGGCCGUGAAUGAGAGACCCAGAGAUGGAAGCUUCACAGCAUUUGUGGCAGUAGCGGCAGAAAUGCAUCACACAUUUGAGUCCCUAGAUGGCCUUGUGGAGAAACGUCUACCUGCCACCCUGGACUAUUAGACAUGAAAAAGAUGCAGGCAAGAUAUGGAGUGUCUUCAUGGGGGAGAUUCAGAAGCCAUGGAUGGUGUAGAAAGAAAUAUUCUUCAAACAAAACCUUAUGAGGAACAGAACCAUAGCUCCUGAAACUGUGUGAAAGCAAGAGAAAGAGAGUCUUUUGUCAAUAGUCUGUCCACACAUAUCCAGACCCAACCCAAAGUUACAACCUGACCUCCACGAUCACUUUCCCUCACAGGGACCGCACUAUGAGGAACACGCCAAAGUUGAGAAAGGGUAAGAUUCUUGCCCAACCUCAAGACCAGUGCUAUUCUCUUCACGCCAAGGCAGGAAGAUCACUGAAGCCCAGAAGUUCGAGGCUAAAAUGAGCUAUGAUUGUGCCAACGCACUUCA
rnacentral:lncRNA from 1 species